rnacentral:rRNA from 1 species
AGCAGCCGCGGUAAUUCCAGCUCCAAUAGCGUAUAUUAAAGUUGCUGCAGUUAAAAAGCUCGUAGUUGAAUUUCGGGACCAAUACGUCGGUCGUGCCUCGGUACGUACUGGCAUCGUUGGUUUCUCCCUUCUGACGAACCAUGAUGUCAUUUACUUGGUGUCGUGGGGAAUCAGGACUGUUACUUUGAAAAAAUUAGAGUGUUUAAAGCAGGCUCACGCUUGAAUACAUUAGCAUGGAAUAAUGAAAUAGGACGUUUGAUUCUAUUUUGUUGGUUUCUAGGAUCGACGUAAUGAUUAAUAGGGAUAGUUGGGGGCAUUAGUAUUCAAUUGUCAGAGGUGAAAUUCUUGGAUUUAUUGAAGACUAACUACUGCGAAAGCAUUUGCCAAGGAUGUUUUCAUUAAUCAAGAACGAAAGUUAGGGGAUCGAAGACGAUCAGAUACCGUCGUAGUCUUAACCAUAAACUAUGCCGACUAGGGAUCGGAUGAUGU